rnacentral:lncRNA from 1 species
AGGUCACCAUUUGUGCUACUUAAGGUCGACGUCCAGAGGGUUGUUCCCCUCAACACACCACCCCUGUGAGUCCUGCAGCUGGAAGGAAAGAGUGGAUCCAGUCUGUGCCCGGCUCUCUCCGCCCUCCGAGGGAGGGGCAGGAGUGGUGACCUUGAGCCUGGCCCGUGACCUUCCCAGGUGCCUGCUGGGGUGCACAGCUGGGGGGCUUCUGGGGUGGGGGGUCAGUGUGAGGUCUUGGGGGGUGGAGACCGAGGGGCGGCUCUGCCCACCUCCGCCAUGCCCACGUCCGCCAUGCCCACUGCUGGUUGCAAGGUUGGGGAGGGGAGGUGUGACCCUGAGACCCUUCUCAGACAGUGAUGCUGGCCCCCUGCCAACCCUUCUUCCCAGACAGGAGGGCUGGGUCCUCAGGGAGACCUUCCUUCUGGCAGGACUCCUGGCCCUGACCCAGACACACAACCCCAUCUUAAGAGCACUGCUCCCGAGUUGAACCCCUCAUUGUGUUGGGGGUUGGACGGUCUGCAGCCCCUUGGGCUCCAGCCAGCUCCAGAGUCAUUAGUAUCGUGAAGUCCCGGGAAGCCUGGCCCUGGAAGUUGGCACCGGAGACCGCAGGAGCGCCUCAGCCCAGGGCCAGCUGCUUCUCACCCCCAGGCUCUGUCUGGGCCAGAUGGCCUGGAGGCGGGCUGUCCAAGGACACUCUCGCUUCCCUCCCAGGAAUAAGGAUGUUGGUGGGGGGACAGGCGAGAAUGUGUCCCUGAGUUCCGCUGACCCCGAGGCCCCUUGCUGGCCAGGACAGGUGCUGUGACGGGGACAGGCGGGGGGGCGCAGCCGGAGGAGCCCCCACUGAGGGCACUGGCCCGCCCUCCUUGUGCAGAAGGGCAUCAAGACUUUGGUGUUUUUUGCUGAAAAAAUAGCAGCCUCCUUUCCCGGGUGGGCUUGCACAGGCAGCGCCGCCCUGGGGCCCCAGCCACCACGCAGGCUCUGACGUGCCUUCUCCCCUGCGGCCCCGACAGCCACGUGAAGCAUCUGUGGUGGGUUCAGGAAUGGAGGGUCGGGGGGCGGUGCGUGCUCAUCCAGGCAUGUGAAUUGGCAGACGGUUCCAGGUCGGGCUUGGUGGGGCUGGGGUCAGGGUCGCCGGGGCUCUCAACGGGCACCUGUCAUCACUCACCUGCCACAGGGCCCCUCUUCUGCUCCCGGGACAGCGAUGCCCUACAGACAGGAGCCCAGGGCCCUCCUGCAGGAUGUGUGGUUGGGGAAAAAGAAAACAGAGUGUUCGGGCCACCACCAUCAGCGGGGCGUGAGCAGAGGAGGGAUCAGGAGUGAAGAAGGGUCUGGCCCAGGAGCUGCUGAGAGCAUCUGACGGGGCAUUCGGGGCUCCCCCAGGCUGAGACUUCCCUGUGGUGCCAGGCAUGGGGUGGGGGCCGUGUGCUGAGGCCCAGACCUGCUGUCAGGAGAUGCCACUCCGGGUCUGGUCAUUCAGCCCCCGACGG